AGGAGAGUUCCUUUAUUGGCAAAAAGGGUUGAGCUGUAAACUCAAUAGCAAUUUUCUGCUUUAUGAGUUCGAAUCUCUUGUCUCCUA
rnacentral:tRNA from 4 species